rnacentral:tRNA from 1 species
GGCUCCGUGGCACAAUUGGUUAGCGCGUAGGUCCAAAUCCUGAGGUUGGAGGUUCGAGUCCUUCCGGGUCA